rnacentral:lncRNA from 1 species
AGAGGUUCUACCAUCAUCUGGAUCCCACACUGACUGCAGCUUUCCGCUUCACCACCCCUAUGAUCAGCGGAUAGACUGUACACAUCUCAACCCUAAGGGAGGAGAUUCAAGUUCUCCUUGGAGGCUCUCCGCAGCUGUGCAAAUCUACACGUGCAUUAGAAUUGUAUUGAGAAGAUGACAACAUAAACUCUGCAGAAACAAAGGCUCUGGAUUUUGGUCACUUGGGCUCUGGGGCCAUCAGAUACAUAUACUAGUAUGUACUUCUAACAACAAUCCUCUUUGUUUAAAGUGUGAAACUGCUAUUCACUAAUAUCUUGGUGCCAUUCCCAGAAAGCAUGCUUCAUGUAAUUGGCAAGUUUUUACAAGGCUGUUUGCUAUUUGCAGCCUUCAUAUUGUGGUGCUUGGCUGAUUUUCUCAACUCUUCUUGUCCUGUC